GCGGCCAUCUUGGGGAGGUAGCUAUGGACAACCUGGUAGGGCGCUGGGCACAGAGGCAGGGUGCCGGGCUCUGUUGGCGUUGUUCCAGUGACGCCUGGAGAGCCUUCAACAUCCUGCUGCCUGAGCCGCUGGUGCCCCCGACCUCGUCCCCGCACCCGCCCGCGCACCCGCGGGAUCCUCUUAAUGCAAAAAACGGAGCCUGUUCCCGGGGUCCUAGUACCUUUCAAAAUGCCUCACAAGUUUGCCAUUCCCUGGCGUUCAAAGAGCUGUGAGCCAAGAUUUCUGUGCGCAGGGGCCAGGACUAGACGCUGCUAGAGGGAGAGUCAAUAUCUCCUUCAGAGUUGCAGCAAGGAUCAAUCAAGAUAAUGUGUAACACAGAAGAGUGCUUCCCCAAAGCAGAUGCUGGAGCGACAGAGACAGCAUGCGAGCAGUUUCAAGGUGGGAUUUUCUGGCCUUCCAUCCAACUUCCAGUUACUGCUUUGGCCCUGAACGGAAGAGGGCUUUGAACAAGCCCAAAGCCACACUCCCUCCCACAUACCUGGCUGGUACUUUGCACCUGCCAGGGCCCCAAACCCAUGGUUAGAGGAAAAGGAAGUUCCCCAGGCAGGGAAGACUCUGGACUCCUGGGUCCAAAUGCGUUCGGGCACCAGGAUGCGAAAGAGUUGGCACCUAGAGACUCAUUUCCUGAACACUGAAUGAUUUGGAAAAACUAGGGUAACUGACAGCAACGUUUACAGGUGUGCCUAGGCCAACACGCGCAGGGCGUGGAUUCUGCCUCCUGGGUCUAACAGAAGUCGGGCGCAGACAUCUUGGAGGCGCU